rnacentral:rRNA from 1 species
GAUGAACGCUGGCGGCGUGCCUAAUACAUGCAAGUCGAGCGAACGGACGAGAAGCUUGCUUCUCUGAUGUUAGCGGCGGACGGGUGAGUAACACGUGGAUAACCUACCUAUAAGACUGGGAUAACUUCGGGAAACCGUAGCUAAUACCGGAUAAUAUUUUGAACCGCAUGGUUCAAAAGUGAAAGACGGUCUUGCUGUCACUUAUAGAUGGAUCCGCGCUGCAUUAGCUAGUUGGUAAGGUAACGGCUUACCAAGGCAACGAUGCAUAGCCGACCUGAGAGGGUGAUCGGCCACACUGGAACUGAGACACGGUCCAGACUCCUACGGGAGGCAGCAGUAGGGAAUCUUCCGCAAUGGGCGAAAGCCUGACGGAGCAACGCCGCGUGAGUGAUGAAGGUCUUCGGAUCGUAAAACUCUGUUAUUAGGGAAGAACAUAUGUGUAAGUAACUGUGCACAUCUUGACGGUACCUAAUCAGAAAGCCACGGCUAACUACGUGCCAGCAGCCGCGGUAAUACGUAGGUGGCAAGCGUUAUCCGGAAUUAUUGGGCGUAAAGCGCGCGUAGGCGGUUUUUUAAGUCUGAUGUGAAAGCCCACGGCUCAACCGUGGAGGGUCAUUGGAAACUGGAAAACUUGAGUGCAGAAGAGGAAAGUGGAAUUCCAUGUGUAGCGGUGAAAUGCGCAGAGAUAUGGAGGAACACCAGUGGCGAAGGCGACUUUCUGGUCUGUAACUGACGCUGAUGUGCGAAAGCGUGGGGAUCAAACAGGAUUAGAUACCCUGGUAGUCCACGCCGUAAACGAUGAGUGCUAAGUGUUAGGGGGUUUCCGCCCCUUAGUGCUGCAGCUAACGCAUUAAGCACUCCGCCUGGGGAGUACGACCGCAAGGUUGAAACUCAAAGGAAUUGACGGGGACCCGCACAAGCGGUGGAGCAUGUGGUUUAAUUCGAAGCAACGCGAAGAACCUUACCAAAUCUUGACAUCCUUUGACAACUCUAGAGAUAGAGCCUUCCCCUUCGGGGGACAAAGUGACAGGUGGUGCAUGGUUGUCGUCAGCUCGUGUCGUGAGAUGUUGGGUUAAGUCCCGCAACGAGCGCAACCCUUAAGCUUAGUUGCCAUCAUUAAGUUGGGCACUCUAAGUUGACUGCCGGUGACAAACCGGAGGAAGGUGGGGAUGACGUCAAAUCAUCAUGCCCCUUAUGAUUUGGGCUACACACGUGCUACAAUGGACAAUACAGAGGGCAGCGAAACCGCGAGGUCAAGCAAAUCCCAUAAAGUUGUUCUCAGUUCGGAUUGUAGUCUGCAACUCGACUACAUGAAGCUGGAAUCGCUAGUAAUCGUAGAUCAGCAUGCUACGGUGAAUACGUUCCCGGGUCU